rnacentral:rRNA from 1 species
GAUGAACGCUGGCGGCGUGCCUAAUACAUGCAAGUAGAACGCUGAAGCUUGGUGCUUGCACCGAGCGGAUGAGUUGCGAACGGGUGAGUAACGCGUAGGUAACCUGCCUCUUAGCGGGGGAUAACUAUUGGAAACGAUAGCUAAUACCGCAUAAAAGUCGAUAUCGCAUGAUAUUGAUUUGAAAGGUGCAAAUGCAUCACUAAGAGAUGGACCUGCGUUGUAUUAGCUAGUUGGUGAGGUAACGGCUCACCAAGGCGACGAUACAUAGCCGACCUGAGAGGGUGAUCGGCCACACUGGGACUGAGACACGGCCCAGACUCCUACGGGAGGCAGCAGUAGGGAAUCUUCGGCAAUGGGGGCAACCCUGACCGAGCAACGCCGCAUGAGUGAAGAAGGUUUUCGGAUCGUAAAGCUCUGUUGUAAGAGAAGAACGAGUGUGAGAGUGGAAAGUUCACACUGUGACGGUAACUUACCAGAAAGGGACGGCUAACUACGUG